rnacentral:rRNA from 1 species
GAUGGACGCUGGCGGCGCGCCUAAUACAUGCAAGUCGAGCGAACAGACGAGGAGCUUGCUCCUCUGACGUUAGCGGCGGACGGGUGAGUAACACGUGGAUAACCUACCUAUAAGACUGGGAUAACUUCGGGAAACCGGAGCUAAUACCGGAUAAUAUAUUGAACCGCAUGGUUCAAUAGUGAAAGACGGUUUUGCUGUCACUUAUAGAUGGAUCCGCGCCGCAUUAGCUAGUUGGUAAGGUAACGGCUUACCAAGGCAACGAUGCGUAGCCGACCUGAGAGGGUGAUCGGCCACACUGGAACUGAGACACGGUCCAGACUCCUACGGGAGGCAGCAGUAGGGAAUCUUCCGCAAUGGGCGAAAGCCUGACGGAGCAACGCCGCGUGAGUGAUGAAGGUCUUCGGAUCGUAAAACUCUGUUAUUAGGGAAGAACAAAUGUGUAAGUAACUAUGCACGUCUUGACGGUACCUAAUCAGAAAGCCACGGCUAACUGCGUG